rnacentral:lncRNA from 1 species
GCCCGCGCAGGGUCCGACCCAGCCGAGGGCUCCUGAGCCCUGGGCGCCGGAGCCAGGAGCUGCGCGCGCUGCCACCUCCCGCGACGUGUCGUUACUGGGCCCGGAACAGGGAACCUGCGUGGCCUGUGCAAACCCUGCCCCUUUAAAAGUGAAACCUACUCCCUGGCCUGGCGCCGGGUCGCGAUCCGACCCCAUUGCUUUACUGAGUGGCUUGCGUGAGUUUCUGGCUCCCACCUGUCUGCGCAGGUAAGCCCCAUAAAUCUUAAUUCGCUCCUCAUGUGACCCUCAUUCUACAGGAACGUGCUGGGCCCUGGCUCUGCGCCAGGCAAGUGGAGGGCCAAACCCCUGAGGGGGUGGCCUCUUAGCAGUUGUAGGGGCUGGUGAGAAAAGCGCAGAGGGCCAAAGAGCUUGGAGAGAAUGAGAAGCAUCAGGGAUCAGAUCACACCACUGUCCUCUGGAAAAAAUGUGAAAGCUGCUCCAGACAUGGGUCUUUGGCAGCAAAGGACAGUGGCCCAGGAGAGAAGGGAAAUCAAGACUGCCUGCCCCUACCCUGCUCAACUAGCAGAGCCCAGAUGGGUGGCAGGUGGAGAGCAAAAGGCCAACCCCCAGGGCCACUCAGGGGAGGGAGGCUCCUGAGGACAGCAGGAGCCGGAAGAAACACCUAGGCUGGGAGAGAAGCCCUUGGGGAGGAGGGAGGGCUGUGGUGCCAGAGGGCACCUGGGGACUCCAGACUCAAGAGUAGGGAGAAGGUCUUGCCUCACAGCAGGGAGAAUCACCCUGGACCACAGAGUUUGUGCCUCCAAAGGAGGCUCAAACACAAGCUGGGAAGGGUCACACAGUUGCAUGUAACUCAGUCCAACCCCAGAAACACACACAGGAUCCAGGAAUCCAGAAAAUAUCCAGUACAUGCUAAGUGCCCCGUAAAGACAAUCAGACGUGGAGAUAAGCAGGAAAUCAACCCAUAUUAGGGGGAGCUCAAGCCAAAUUGACCAGAGUUGACAGGCAGAGGAUAGACCAGGUGAGCACAUCACAUGCAUCCUGAGACUGCUUUCUGUUUGUAAUGCUGCAGGAGAGACUCGAGGGGAUGCAGAGACAGACAAGAGCGUGAAGCUUCAAAGUGAAUUUCCACAAGUGGAAACGAAGUGCCUCUGAUAAAUAAGACAGAUGGGACUGAUGGCAGGCUGUGAAAGCCAGGCUCGCCACACCUGCCUGCGACAGAGCCCGUCCAGUGAGGCAGAAGCAGCUGGGGAGAGCGGGCAUCGCCAGCUGCGGAACUCCCAGCACAGGCAGAACCAGGUCCCCACAGGAGAAGGUAGAGAGGUGGGGAAAGAAGAAAUCCUCUGAAAAAAAUGGCCAGAAUUUCCCCAAAGGUGAUGAUUGAAAAACAAACCGACAACCAAGAAAGGCUGACCAGACCUGAGUGCAGAAGAAGUCAAGUAACAUCAGUAUCAGGAUGCGGAGAACCAGCCCAGCGGAGAGCGCAAAAGCAGCUCUGAGGAGAGGUGCCUUUCGUGCAGACUGGCAAAAGAUGCUCCUGCAAAUAACCCGGGCAAGGAGACGCCUGCAUCUUCAGCACCCAGAAAAGAAACCUGCCAAGCCAGCGUGCCUGGCCAGCAAAGAUGCCUUUUAAAAACAAAGGUGAAGCCAGGACUUUUUCAGACAUCUGAAGCUGAAAGAAUCCAUCCCCAGCAGAUCUGCAGCAAGGAAGGCUAAAGACGUCCUUCAGGAGAAGAAGGUAAUGCCAGAUGGCACCUGAAUCUGCACGACUUGAGGAGGCCUGGAAACAGAGACUACACCAGUCCUGGAGAGCAUGGCCUGAUUGAGUCUCUGUAGAGACAGCUGUUUAACGCAAAAGUAACACGGGCAUUGAGGGGCUUAAGCCACAUGAAAACCUCCAACAUAGACUAAAAGCAGAAAGAGGCUGGGAAGAGAUAGAGAAGAAGUGCCUGUGAGGCUAGGAACACCACGACCCUCGACCACCGCACAUGGGUAUGCUGCAGGAGGCCAGGCGUGGGGGUGCAGGCCUGUGGUCCAGCUGCUCGGCAGGCUGAGGCAGGAGGGUGGGUUAUCCAGGAAUUGAGGCCAGCCACACAGUGAGACCCUAUCUCAAAAACAAAAGCUGUUUUAUACCCUAAAGCAUUAAAAUAACAAAGAAUUUCAGCUAAUGGGGCAAGAAAGGAAACAAAGUAAUUAAAACAUUAAUCCAAAAGAAGGCAGGAAAAGAGGGAGAAAGAACCAAUGAAUAAUCAGGAUAAAAGACAGCAAGGUGAGAAAACUGUUAGGCGCACAUACAUUCAGGGUAAACGUGAAUAGUCUAAACAUUCAAAUUAAAAGGUGGAGGUUGUCAGAUUGGGUACAAAAGCAAGACACAGACAGAUGCUGCCUAGAAAAAACACACUACAAUACAAAAUAGGUAAGAUGAAAGUGGGUGGAAAGAUAUACCAUGUUAACACCAGGCAGAAGAAAUCGAGGGCAGCCAGAGAAGAGAGCAUUUGCAGAGACGGUAGGCAAACACCACAGAAGAGAAACUGGUAGGACUGAGCAGAGUACUGGACAGUACCCUUGCAGUACCUGAUCAGCAGGUGGACAGGAUGGGGACAUAGAAGAAACAAGCAACAGCUGAGCUCCUUGGCCACCACCAUUUUCUGGGCACAGCCUCAGUAUAUUUAAAAUGAUUUGAGUCAUUCCACGCGUGUUCUGUGGCCCCAGUGAAAUUCUGUUAGAAAUCAGCACAGAAGGGCCGGGUGUGGCUCAUGGCAGAGUGCUGGCCCAGCACACCUGAGGCCCCGGUCCCUUGCUGAAAAACCAAAUCAGACCAAAGUGGAAGGAAAGGAUAACAUACCAAAAACUGAGGGCAGUGCUCCAUGUAGUGAGUGGAUGCUCACAGCACUCAGUGUGGAGUGUAAAAAAGACAGGCUCCAAACCAGUGGCUUAGCUCCAUCCCAAGACAAGAGGACCAUGGGAGCAAAUGGCACAGCCACCGAGCAGGAGCCGGGAGCCCAUAAAGUUGUGGUCAAGGUCAACAAAGCAGAGAGCAGAGAAGCUUUGGAGAAAUCAGUGAUAGCAAAACUGACUCUUUGGAAAGAUGAUAAAACUGACAGAUCUCUUACAAUCAAGAGCAGCCAAAGCAGAGAGAAUUUCCAGAGAGGAGCAGGCAAUGACCCUGAUUUGUAAAUGCCAAGGCCAACUGUGCAGAGAACGCCAUGGAAUCAAACCUGGAAUGAAAAGGAACAAGACGGAUUCACACUGGAACCCAAGAGGCAGCAUUCCCAGAGUCUGGACACACAGAGGGUGAUACAGAUGUGCAUACCAUAGCCAACAGCUGUGGCAACUAGAAGAAAUGCCACCCAUCCUGGAAGACAGGAAGACCAGAGCGCACUCAGAAGCUCCAGAGCCGGAACAGCCGCAUAGCUAUUAAAUAUUCUGAACUUUUGCUUGAAGAAAGCAGGAAGCCCAGCCAACUCUACUGAGAGCCCAGCAAACACUCAAGGAGCCAACAGCAGCUCGGCAAAGGAAGAGCAGGGCCACUGCUGGCUCCUGGGCAGCAGUGCAGACGCCAAACCCAAUGACAACAGAAUGACAUCUGUCAUGAACCGGUGCAUGCAAUGUUUUAUUGCAAUUAGUCAAAUGCAACAAUAUGAAAAGGAACACUGCAUGGUGAUGGGGGGGGGGGGCGCGGGUGUCCAGGGCUGUAGCAUUGGCUUAAUUAUGAAAACCCACUAGCACCGCUGGCCACAUCGACGGACAGGAAGGUUGGAACAGGGAUCUCAGUGUUACAGUAAGGAAUAAAAAGACACAACACUUCCUCAACCUGGAAAAAGGUAUCUGCCAGAAAGAAGAUUAAAAAUACAUCCAACAUCACGUGGGAGAGUAAAUAUUGGCCCUUCCCACUGACAUCCGCAACCAUGGUGUCUGUUCCUGGCCAGUGCAGUAAGGGCAAGGGAAAACAUGACCCAUGUGGAGAGGGGCAGGCAAUGACCCUGAUUUGUAAAUGCCAAGGCCAACUGUGCAGAGAACGUCAUGGAAUCUAAAGGAAGCCAAUAGAACUCAUGAGCUCUCGCAAGUCAGGGCGCUAGACCCUCACACGGCACCCCUCAGGGACAGCAGCAAGCGACUCCCAGGCGUAGCUGGGGAGCACGGGAGUCUGCAUGUUCAGUGGAGUGACCCAACCCUUUCACCCGGCAUUCACCACCCAGAAUCUAAGGUGCAGGGCCACACGACGGGCACCCACGUCCAGGGCCACUGCCCAUGUCGUGCCCUAGCCAGAGACAACCCAAGGUGUCAGCAGGAGAAGGCAGACAUGUGGCUCCCACCCACGGCACUCUCGCCGACUGGGGGGUGGGUCUGCGGAACUCAGACCACAGCGAGGACCGUGUGGCUGCAUGGCAGCCAACUCACAGGAGAAGGCUGCUAACUCCUGGGUUCUAAUGCUCCUCCUGCCUCAGCCUCCUGAGGAGUGGGGACCACAGUGGGGCCGCUGCACCCAGACACUAAAGGUGCAUUGAUCUCUGGUGACAGAAAGGGGCCAGAGGUUGUGGAAAUGGGGAGGGGUGAAAGGGUGAGGCAGGAGGAUGGAAUGGCCUAAGACAACUUUGGGGUGAUGGGAAAGUCAUCUGGAUCAAGGCGGGACCCAUGAGGGUGCCUCUGUGCCCCGAGCCAGUGUGCCAAGCAGCCCCCGUCAGAGGCCUAGCGCUUCAGAGCCCUGUCCCAGAGCCCCGUUGUGGCUGAGAGUCUGUGUCCCCCAGCUUCUGUGCCGAGCCCUAGCCCCCGUGGGAUGAGAAGAGGAAGAGACAUGAAG